CAAUACUGUGCCUGUAUCUAGUAAUCGAGUUUGAUUUCUCAGUGCCUCAUUCAAAGUGCAACUUGUGGCAAUUUUUGCCUUCUAACAAAAACUUGACUGUUGCAUAUGUGUGCUUGCUGCUCACUGGUGUUUAGCCUGUCACAGAAAGGUGUUAUUUUCUGAACUGAAGAGCUUAAAGGCUCUGUCAAGGUGAAGAGGUAAAUGUGAUCUGUACUGCGCCUUGAGGCAAGGUUUGUUAAUUAUUUUUCUCUUGGAAAUCAUGUUGACAGGCAGAUGACAUGUGCUCAACUCUCACCCUGAUAUGGAGUCUGGACACAGCCGAGUCGGGAUACAUCUGGGUCUGGGAGAUGGGAACCUUGAAGGUGACCAAAGUCAUCACAACAGAUAGAAAAUUGAUUUGAAGCCUCAGAGAGUUCCCUUCCAUGUGCCAACCUGACCCCAGCAAGGAGAGUGAGCUGUCAAGCCAUAAAAAUAAAGAUUGGUGUAAAGAAGAACAAAGAGAAAUCCAGGAAACGGAGACUCUCAGGUAAAUGUCAG